UUCUGCAGCAGACAAUCGGAAAAUUCUAGUGGCCUGUCCCGGGAGUUUUUGAACCGCGACUGUGAUUGGAAAAUCAUCGCUUAUUAAACCUUAACGUCAACGCUAGCAACCUCUUUUAGCAAAUAGUCUGAUUCAGUUUUUCUGAGCUCCGUUCAAGCAGUAAAGCGUGAAAUUUUCAAGUACAUCUAAGUGUUUGUCACCACUACUAAAUAAGCCAUGCCAGGUUGCGAAUGCAUGUCACAAAAAUGUUGCGACUUUAUCGACAACCCACUUUCUUGCAAAACGAUCGAGGAAGUUCCCGGAAUUGGGAAGGUUUACGGCUGUCGCCUGCGCAAGGCAGGACUUUGCAAGGCAAGGGACAUCCUGGACGUGUUCCUGUCGUUCGGCACUGGCUGUGAAUUCCGUUCCUGGCUGGCCUACACGGCCGGCUCCAAUUCGGAGCAGGCAUUCACCACGUACAAGUGUUUGAAGGAGUGGUGCAAGAAAUUCCUGCCGCGUGCUCGCUGCUGAUUGGUCAACGCUGUGAUCACCCGCUCUUCGCGUCCGAUCCGAGUUCAACGGCGAGAACUGGCUCUUGAAACCCCGGUGUCGGCUUAUGGCUCCUCCAUCCCGGUUUCUUCAUAAGCUUCUGUUCCAAGAAAUCAUGGCGGUAUAUAACAGUUCGGGCUCACCACCGCGGACUCCCUCAGUCAAAACGUGGCUUCGUUCAGGUCCAAGAUACCCAGCUUCCAGCGAUGUGCAUCAGCAUUUGUUGCGCUGGCUCCUGACUCAGACGCAUCACGGAGAAGAAGUAUGCUGAGCUUGAGCCGUUGCCUCUCAGAGGAGACGGCCCAUGAAGCCCUUGCGCUGGCUGAGUUUGUGAACUGUAGGCUUCUCGUGGUGAGGGGCCGGGUGGAUCGUGCGACGGCGCGAGCGUGCAUCACUCGUCCAGCGGCAUCACCGGUGACCAAGCGGCAGGGUUCGCUAUGACCGCCGCCGCGUGAGCGUUAUUUCAGCCGUUCCUCACUCUCUGACUCAGCCCGUUAUUCUCGCACGAUAACCCUCUGACGUGAUCUCAUCAGAUAUGCCAGAAUCUCCAGACUUUUUAAGCAGCCUUUGAGCCACGCUUGGCAUCUGAGUGCGGUAUUUGUUUUGAUCGCGCGGGAAAAUCUUGUGAUGCAUUACUUUACACGAAUGCCCCGUGAACAAGAUGAAAUUUCAGUCGCGAUCCUUUUUUUGCCUGUUUCGACUGCGCUCGUAACUACUAUUCAGAAAUACACAGACAACCUUAG